CAUGUACUCCCUCCGUCCCAAAAUUCUUGUCUUACAUUUGUCUAGAUACGGAUGCAUUUAAUACUAAAAUGUGACUUAAUACAGUAGCAAACUAAUUUAAAAUUGCUAACCUGUAGUUGUAUGAGCGUUAGACAAGAAUUUUGGGACGGAGGGAGUAUGUA
rfam:Triticum aestivum genome assembly, contig: Triticum_aestivum_CS42_TGACv1_scaffold_161760_2DL